AUGCUGCUUUCAUCUUGCAAUGUGGAACCUGGCACCCUUUCUUUAUCUGGGACACAUCUUCCCUCAGGAACUCGGGAGCAAACAGCCUACUUGCAAUUCCAGGAGAAAAAGAGAAAAUCAACUACAUUUAAGGCUGCAGGGGAACUGGACGAAAAGUUGGAGAAAGAUUUAGAGAAAAACAAGUCUCUAGGGUCCUCAUUGUGUGAGUUCUGGGAGAAAUGGCAAAGAAAAAUCCAAUAUGAUGCAGACCUUCAAGGAGCUAUAAAAGAAGUAGAGGACCUCUGAGAGGCACGUCCCAGCCAGGAGGAAACCAAGGUGAACCCAGGGCCAUGAGGACUCUGGCAGGGCCUCAGGCAGAGCUACAUAGUGAGUUCAAAACCAGUCUGAAUACACAGAGAGACCCUGUCUCAAAAAAAAAAAAAAAAAAAAAGAAAGAAAGAAAAGAAAAAGAAAGAAAGAAAGAAGAAAAGAAAAGAAAAAGGCUGACGAAGCUAGAGUCUGACAUCCGUAGUUGAUGGCAGCAAAAGCUAUCCAUGCUCAAGCAGAGUCAAGCUUGCAAGUGCAGACUAACUUCCUGCUCCUCCUUUCCCUUUUCAUGCCAUCUGGGCUGCCUAUUGGAUAGCAUCACCUAUAGUCAGGACAAGUCUCUCCCUACAUUGGCUGGCCCACAAGCCAAUCAUCUUUGGAAACGCCCUCAAGGAAGGCCACACACAGAAGUCUGAUUUACUAAUCUGUGAGGCCUCUCUCAC
rnacentral:lncRNA from 1 species